rnacentral:lncRNA from 1 species
AUGCGGUGUGUGGGCCGGGAGGAUCUCUGUAGCAGUAGGGGUGGGAGGACACAGCCCCCUCGCCCUUCGAGUCCUGGGACAUCACCUCCCCACCCCGGCGGGGGCGGGGGAUCAGGCUGGGUCCCUCUAGGCUCAGAGGCCCCCACUCUCAGAGCUGCUCCGGCUGUGGUAGCUGGGGCUGGGGGUCCGGGAGGGGCUGCGCGUGCGGCUGCGGGUCCGGCUGCGGCUGCUGUAGCUUCCGUGGCUGUGGCCCGGGCUGUGGCUGCGGCUGUGGCUCCGGCUGGAGUAGUCGCUGCUCAGGCAGCUGGAGGAGGAGGAGGGGCUGGGCCGGUAGUAGGGGAUGGGGCGCUUGCGGGCACUGCCGAGAGGAGAAGUGGGUUACGGGCCGGCCGGGGUCCCGGGUCCCAUCGGAGCAGUGGCCGGGGCUUCCUGCCUCAGUUUCCCCUGGUCUCUGGGCCUGUGAGGGUCAGCUGUCACUGGUCCAUGUCGGUCAUUCUGUUUUCCCUCACCUGUCUGCAGGGACAGGAGUCCCGCGUCUGCCUGAUUCAGUCUGAGCUCAGGAGUGCUAGCGGAUGUCAACUGAGCCCAGCCCUGGCCCUGGGCCUGGAAGUGCCCGUAUCGGCCCAGCCCGGCUUCUCAGUUCCCAUUCCCCAUGCAAGCAAAGCUUGGGCUUUUCCGAUCACUCCAAGGGAAUAAGGGGGAGACCCCGGCCACUGCUGCCCACGCCCCAAGCCCAGCCCAGCCCCGCGCUGGCCCCACGCCUCACUCAGCUACCUCCCGCUGGCCCGCAGUUAGUGGAAGGCAGGAGGCUACAACCCAGAGAAAAGAGAAGAGAGUGGUUAAGGAGCCAGCGAGGCCCGAUCUGGGGUUAAUUCUGAGGAAGAAACAGGCGUAGUUAGUGGGAGGAGGAGGCAGCCUGGGAGAGGGGCUGAGGCUGGAAAGUAGGGGUCUGGCCAUCUGAGGACCCUGCAGCCUACGGGUGUGCCACCUGUUCCGUGGAGGUGCCCCAAGCCUGGGGGUCUGGCUCCCGCUCUGGGGUGGGUGGGGGGGCAGUGCCCUCCAUCACCAAGGACUAAUCACAGAGAGGGACGGAUUUCCCAAGGCGUCCCCCGCACUCUGCCUGGCAGAGUGGGCGGGGUGGGCUCCCCAGAGACCACACUGCUGUGCCCCCUCCUCCAGUGUCCCUGGGGGUGGGGAGCUGGGAGGUUAGUGAGAAGAGCAGAGGCAGACAGACGGACGGCUGACCGGAGCCAGACCAGCUCACAUGGGCAUCUCCCCCGCAGCCUGUGGGGAGGGGUCCGCCUGGCCCCCGGGUUGGCCACAGGCCACUCAGCAGGCUGCACCCUGAGACGAAGGAGAGAAGUAGACAUCACUGUCGGCAGACGGCCGUGGCGUGGCGAGCGA